AUCCAGCUAACGAGUCGCAAAUAGGACAAAAUGCGCAUCAAAUUGGAU
rnacentral:hammerhead_ribozyme from 1 species